rnacentral:lncRNA from 1 species
GUAUGGUCAGGCGGGAUCAUCUGCCAGCUGGAGGUCUCAGGACUGUGGAAAACCAUGUAUUCUAGCAGUAUAUUCUCUGGCCCAGCCGACCAUUACUAUCUUCAUAACGCUUAUGAAACUGUGCCUUCUCUAAGGCCAUUCACAGCUCUCGACUGGGCUAUCCUUCUUUGCCCUCUGUGCAUAAUUUCAUGCUUAUUUGAUCUCCCCAACCUCUGCACUGACCUGGCUUCUUGUGUUAUAUCCUAAACAACUUGUUCUUGGUUUCAUCCACUCAGUUCUCUGGAUCAGCCAGCUUCACACAGAAGUGACAGCACUUCUGAAAUCCCCUCUUAGUCACUUUUGUAACUUCAACCUCUGCUAAAGGUAGACACUCACUCUAUAGACCAGGCCUUGAGCUCAAAGAUCCACCUGCCUCUGCCCCCUGGCCCCCUCCACCUCCCCACGAGUGCUGGGACUAAAGGUGUGAACCACCACCACCACCACCACCACCACCCAGCUCCCUUGUUUUCUUAACAUUGAUCUAUUUAUAACUAGAGUGAGCAAAGCAGUGGUGGUGCACAACUUUAAUCCCACCACUCAGGAGGCAGAGGCAGGUGGAGCUCUGUGAUUUCGAGGCCAGCCUGGUCUACAAUAUGAGUUCCAGGACAGCCAGGGAUACACAGAGAAACCCUGCCUCAAAAAGAAAAUCAAAUAAACCCCCACAGAGUUACACCUUAUCCACUGCCCAAUGUCCUGCCAUUGGUUCCCAGACCAGAGCCUAGAGCCUGAAAUGGUCAUAUGCUCAGGCCCCAUUGCAAAGGACAGUGGGAAGGCACCUGCUUGUCUAACCUCUGGGGUGGCAAAGCUCGGGAGGGACUCCUCCUUAGGCAGCAGAGAUGCUCACUGGUGUGGGCUGUGCACACUCUGGUUUUCUUUCCUCUAAACUUGUGGGCCCCCAGGUUCAAGCUUUUAAUUUUCAGGUUUGCAUAUCUAUAAGUGCCUCCGUGUAUCUAUGUGGACCACAUGUAUGCCUGGUGCCUGUGGAAAUGAGAAGAAAGCAUUGAAUCCCCUCAAAAAGUGUUCUUAACCCCUUAGCCAUCUCUCCAGCCCCAGGUUCAAAUCCUGAGCACCGUCUGAACUAGUCCUGUGUCCAAGACAGUAUCAUCAAACCCUGCCCUUCCCGCCUUGUGCCAGCUCGCGCUUUUUCUUACAUCUGUAUGUUGAUGCUUAGCAGGUUCCUUGAAUGCUUGGUUUAUGUGCCUGGCUGGAGGAGACACCCAUGGCCUUGCAGAGGGAGCGUUCUGGUGGGAAAGCAGACACAACCCACCCUAGGCCCGUGGUUUCCCUGCAAGAAGCCCAGUGGCUUUCUGGAGGACACUUUUCCUGGAGGAAGUGACUCAAGCAUAAGCCAGGCUCUAUGGAAUGUUGGGUGAGCUGCUUGAGGAACUCCAAGGCCUGUCCCACAGUCUUCCAGCCUCCGACUCUCCGGCCCUCAGCGAGGAAGUCCCACUGGUUUUUUUGGUUGGUUUUUUUUUUUUUUUUUAAGGUUUUUUGGUUUUUUUUUUUUUUUCUCAUUCCUGUCUUGGGAGCUUUCCCCAACCAGGAGAGUGAAGAUGGGCGGAGCUGUCACACCAACUGUUAGCCUGCCUUGGCUGAGAGGAGAGGAGGCGAGGAGGGAGCGACCACCCAGCUUUAGUCGUUUUAAAACAGCUCCUGACCCUAGAAGAAGGGAAAUGGAGAUGAAGACCCAAUUGACUUGAGAGAGUGAUCUUUCAGCAGACUGAUCGAACACACAGGCUUCUCAGCCCACUCCCUCCAGUCAAGGUUAAGGCCUGGCAAAGGUGGAGGAAGAGAAGCUGAGGAGAAAAAGGCGAGGAGAGCCUAGGCACAGGAAGGCUUCCCUCCCUCCCAGUGCUGAUUUCCUGUGGACCAGAUUCCAGCACAGUGGAGGGCCAGAGCUCAGGGAACAGACCCAGCAGCACAGCAAGUCUCCAAGGAAAGCUCUAGCAGUCUCCAGGGGCUGAAGGCAGGACUGGGGAAGCGGCUAGCCAGGCUGCAGAAGGCAAAUGCUCCCAGACGGCUGUCCAGCACGCAUCCGCCUUCCUAGCCAAGUUUCCUGGGCUCCUGCCACAGAUCUAAGCCUCAUCCUGACAUCCUGCCCUCUGUGCUCUGGGAUGGCCCAGGGGAGAUGCUUAGCCUUGGCUCCUUGUCUGCUGGUGGAGGGGACACACACCCUUUCUGGACCACAGACCAAAAAGAAGACCUGACGUCAUCCUGAGCACCCCCGCCAUGCAGAGUGUGUUCGCAGACUGCCAACGGGCUGGCUCCGGCCAGCAGAAGUGAACAGAGGUGGAGGUUCAGCCUGACAGCUUCUCCCCAAAGCCAUGGAGAGAAAACCUUACCACCCCCACCGCCCAGCUACUUCCAGCAAGUUGUCCAGCCUGACCCCUCUAUUUCCCCUGUUGUCUCUUAUCUGGGUCCCUGAGACCCACCCCAUCUCCAAUAAAGAACAUUGCAUACUGUGCAUCCACUACUGAACAACAUAGUCACACCAGGCAGGGCUCCCUAAAGCCUACCUGCAUGGCCAGCGUGGUCCGAGGACAGUGUGCUCUCCCCACCCUGUCUGCUAGCCUCCAGCUUCAUGGGAACUCCAUUAAUCAUGGGAUUCCGAGAUCAUCAGAGCAAUAGGAUCACUCCGUCUCCAGGGGAGCACAAGGCAAGAGCCAGAGCGGGACUGUUCUUCAGUCAAGGGGCAGGGGUUGCUGCCUCU